rnacentral:rRNA from 1 species
CGGCUAAACACGAAAGCCAACAUGCUUCACAAGCAUAUUGCCCAAUCAGCUGCUUGCCCCUGUUGUCAAGACCCGCAUGAGGAUGCCCUUCACCUCAUCUCCAACUGUUCUUAUGCGACACAGGUUUGGUCCUCCUUGGGUCUGCCAUCGCCAACCUCCCUUGCUGCUCUGCACCAACACCCAAUGAUUCUGGGCCUCAACCCCAACAUCUGGCCAUCUGUGGCUCUGACUGUUGCAUGGAAGCUAUGGGACUCGAGAAACGCUCUCGUGUUCAGAAAUGAGGAUCACUCCCACAGAACUACAAUACGAAACAUUGUAGCAGAUUUCUCCCUCUGGGUUUUCCGGUUCAAAAAGAAA